AGAGUUUGAUCAUGGCUCAGAUUGAACGCUGGCGGCAGGCCUAACACAUGCAAGUCGAGCGGUAGCACAGAGAGCUUGCUCUCGGGUGACGAGCGGCGGACGGGUGAGUAAUGUCUGGGAAACUGCCUGAUGGAGGGGGAUAACUACUGGAAACGGUAGCUAAUACCGCAUAACGUCGCAAGACCAAAGAGGGGGACCUUCGGGCCUCUUGCCAUCGGAUGUGCCCAGAUGGGAUUAGCUAGUAGGUGGGGUAAUGGCUCACCUAGGCGACGAUCCCUAGCUGGUCUGAGAGGAUGACCAGCCACACUGGAACUGAGACACGGUCCAGACUCCUACGGGAGGCAGCAGUGGGGAAUAUUGCACAAUGGGCGCAAGCCUGAUGCAGCCAUGCCGCGUGUAUGAAGAAGGCCUUCGGGUUGUAAAGUACUUUCAGCGGGGAGGAAGGGAGUAAAGUUAAUACCUUUGCUCAUUGACGUUACCCGCAGAAGAAGCACCGGCUAACUCCGUGCCAGCAGCCGCGGUAAUACGGAGGGUGCAAGCGUUAAUCGGAAUUACUGGGCGUAAAGCGCACGCAGGCGGUUUGUUAAGUCAGAUGUGAAAUCCCCGGGCUCAACCUGGGAACUGCAUCUGAUACUGGCAAGCUUGAGUCUCGUAGAGGGGGGUAGAAUUCCAGGUGUAGCGGUGAAAUGCGUAGAGAUCUGGAGGAAUACCGGUGGCGAAGGCGGCCCCCUGGACGAAGACUGACGCUCAGGUGCGAAAGCGUGGGGAGCAAACAGGAUUAGAUACCCUGGUAGUCCACGCCGUAAACGAUGUCGACUUGGAGGUUGUGCCCUUGAGGCGUGGCUUCCGGAGCUAACGCGUUAAGUCGACCGCCUGGGGAGUACGGCCGCAAGGUUAAAACUCAAAUGAAUUGACGGGGGCCCGCACAAGCGGUGGAGCAUGUGGUUUAAUUCGAUGCAACGCGAAGAACCUUACCUGGUCUUGACAUCCACGGAAGUUUUCAGAGAUGAGAAUGUGCCUUCGGGAACCGUGAGACAGGUGCUGCAUGGCUGUCGUCAGCUCGUGUUGUGAAAUGUUGGGUUAAGUCCCGCAACGAGCGCAACCCUUAUCCUUUGUUGCCAGCGGUCCGGCCGGGAACUCAAAGGAGACUGCCAGUGAUAAACUGGAGGAAGGUGGGGAUGACGUCAAGUCAUCAUGGCCCUUACGACCAGGGCUACACACGUGCUACAAUGGCGCAUACAAAGAGAAGCGACCUCGCGAGAGCAAGCGGACCUCAUAAAGUGCGUCGUAGUCCGGAUUGGAGUCUGCAACUCGACUCCAUGAAGUCGGAAUCGCUAGUAAUCGUGGAUCAGAAUGCCACGGUGAAUACGUUCCCGGGCCUUGUACACACCGCCCGUCACACCAUGGGAGUGGGUUGCAAAAGAAGUAGGUAGCUUAACCUUCGGGAGGGCGCUUACCACUUUGUGAUUCAUGACUGGGGUGAAGUCGUAACAAGGUAACCGUAGGGGAACCUGCGGUUG
rnacentral:rRNA from 1 species